UUACAGCAGGUUACUAACGCUUACAGUAUGUUACUAACGCUUACAGUAUGUUACUAACGCUUACAGUAUGUUACUAACGCUUACAGUAUGUUACUAACGCUUACAGUAUGUUACUAACGCUUACAGUAUGUUACUAACGCUUACCGUAUGUUACUAACGCUUACAGUAUGUUACUAACGCUUACAGUAUGUUACUAACGCUUACAGCAUGUUACUAACGCUUACAGUAUGUUACUAACGCUUACCGUAUGUUACUAACGCUUACAGCAUGUUACUAACGCUUACAGUAGGUUACUAACGCUUACAGUAUGUUACUAACGCUUACAGUAUGUUACUAACGCUUACAGUAUGUUACUAACGCUUACAGUAUGUUACUAACGCUUACAGCAUGUUACUAACGCUUACAGUAUGUUACUAACGCUUACAGUAUGUUACUAACGCUUACAGCAUGUUACUAACGCUUACAGCAGGUUACUAACGCUUACAGUAUGUUACUAACGCUUACAGUAUGUUACUAACGCUUACCGUAUGUUACUAACGCUUACAGUAUGUUACUAACGCUUACAGUAUGUUACUAACGCUUACAGUAUGUUACUAACGCUUACAGCAUGUUACUAACGCUUACAGCAUGUUACUAACGCUUACAGCAUGUUACUAACGCUUACAGUAUGUUACUAACGCUUACAGUAUGUUACUAACGCUUACAGUAUGUUACUAACGCUUACCGUAUGUUACUAACGCUUACAGCAUGUUACUAACGCUUACAGUAUGUUACUAACGCUUACAGUAUGUUACUAACACUUACAGUAGGUUACUAAUGCUUACAGUAGGUUACUAACGCUUACAGUAUGUUACUAAUGCUUACAGUAGGUUACUAACGCUUACAGCAUGUUUACUAACGCUUACAGUAGGUUACUAACGCUUACAGUAUGUUACUAACGCUUACAGUAUGUUACUAACGCUUACCGUGUGUUACUAACGCUUACAGUAUGUUACUAACGCUUACAGCAUGUUACUAACGCUUACAGUAGGUUACUAACGCUUACCGUGUGUUACUAACGCUUACAGUAUGUUACUAACGCUUACAGUAUGUUACUAACGCUUACCGUGUGUUACUAACGCUUACAGUAUGUUACUAACGCUUACAGCAUGUUACUAACGCUUACAGUAGGUUACUAACGCUUACCGUGUGUUACUAACGCUUACAGUAUGUUACUAACGCUUACAGUAUGUUACUAACGCUUACAGCAUGUUACUAACGCUUACAGCAUGUUACUAACGCUUACAGUAUGUUACUAACGCUUACAGUAGGUUACUAGCUCCUAACAAUGUACACAAACAGGUACACAAAUAAUCAAUACAAAUAAAAAAGCAGAAAGAACAACAGGAAAUUAAGAAAUGUCUCCAGGAAUCCAAUUUUAACAACCCAAAUAGCACCGCGACGAGUGAUCCAAAUGCAGUCUAUAUGUAUCUACACCGGAUGAAUUUGCACUAGACAUACUAGGAAUGAUAAGUACAGCCGUAGAUAUAUUAGCAUGAGCUUUGUCGAGAAUCCAGUAUAUGAAUACAUAUGUGGUGGAGUGUAUAAACAGUGUAACUAAAGUUCAAUGUACAGUAGUAGAUAUAUUAGCAUGAGCUUUGUCGAGAAUCCAGUAUAUGAAUACACUGUACAAAACCCCAUAGCAAAAUGGAUAUAAUCAUAUACAGUAUAUGCAUGUAAAUAGAAAGGGUGUGUACAGCAGUAGACAUAUAGGAUGAGCCAUGACUAGAAUACAGUAUAUUCAUAGGAAGUGGGUAAAACAGUGUGUAAACAUUAUUAAAGUGACCAGUGUUCCAUGACUAUGUACAUAAGGCAGCAGCCUCUAAGGUGAGGGGUUGAGUAUCGUGUGGUAGCUGGCUAAUGACAGUGUCUGAGGUUUAGGGCAGGGUACCGGGUGGAGGCCGGCUGGUGGUGCCUCUUCAUCAGUCAGAUGGCUGGGAGAUAGAAGCCGUUUAUCAGUC